rnacentral:sRNA from 1 species
GCUGGGUGCGGUGGCGCACACCUGUCAUCCCAGAGGCUUGGGAGGCUGAGGCAGGAGGAUCGAAAGUUGGAGGCCAGCCUCAGCCACUU